GGCUUGUCGCUGGCACUCUUUGAGUGCGGGAGGAAAGUCCGGGCAGCAUAGGGCAUCCCACUUCUGAAAAUGGAAGCUGUUGGUGACAGCAGGUUAAGGCAGAAGAAAACAACCGCCUGCCUCGGCAGGUAAGGGUGAGAAGGUGGUGUAAGAGACCACCAGCCGGUGGGUGAUCACCGGGCUGUGCCCGCUGGGAGCUGCAAGUUCGCGUAUACCAUCGUCUGAGGGUAGCCCGCCCGACUCAUUCCGAUGGAGGGUAGAACGCUGGAGCCACAGGGUGACUUGUGGCGUAGAUAAAUGACAGGCGGCUGUGUUUCCACAGUCACAGAACCCGGCUUACAGGGGGUCU
rnacentral:RNase_P_RNA from 1 species